rnacentral:rRNA from 1 species
UACGUAGGGUGCGAGCGUUAAUCGGAAUUACUGGGCGUAAAGCGUGCGCAGGCGGUUUUGUAAGCCAGAUGUGAAAUCCCCGGGCUUAACCUGGGAAUGGCAUUUGGGACUGCAAGGCUCGAGUGCGGAAGAGGCGAGUGGAAUUCCUGGUGUAGCGGUGAAAUGCGCAGAUAUCAGGAGGAACACCAAUUGCGAAGGCAGCUCGCUGGGACGUUACUGACGCUGAGACGCGAAAGCGUGGGGAGCAAACAGG